rnacentral:tRNA from 1 species
AAGAUAUUAGUAAAAUAAUUACAUAACUUUGUCGAAGUUAAUUUAUAGGUUWGAGUCCUUUAURUCUUR